rnacentral:tRNA from 1 species
CAGAAAAUAGUUUAUAUAAAAUAUUAAUUUUGGAGAUUAAUGAAAAAUUAUGUUUUUUUCUGA